CCAACAUUACACAGAGUAGGGGAGCAAGUACCCCAGAAAGAGGGACUCAUAUGUACGAAGGUUUAGGGGUGAGAGAUAGCUUGGCAUGGCCAAGGAACCAAAGGAUUGGUGUAAGGGAGGAGGCUAAAGGAACGUGCUGAGGUGGAAGAGACAGGUGGGGACCAUGCCACAUGUGGAGGCUCCAGUAAAUAUCUCUGGUUUUAUUUGAGACACAUUGAGAAACCAUUGACAGUUUUCAUGUAGGGAGUGACAUGAUCACAUUGGAUGCUAUUUGGAGAAUAGAUAGAAGGAAUCAAGAUUAGAAGCAAUGUUGGGAUGAUAUGGUAGUAGUCCAG
rnacentral:lncRNA from 10 species